UACGGAGGGUGCAAGCGUUGUCCGGAUUUAUUGGGUUUAAAGGGUGCGUAGGCGGCUUUUUAAGUCAGUGGUGAAAGACAACAGCUCAACUGUUGCAGUGCCAUUGAUACUGAAGAGCUUGAGUACAGAUGAGGUAGGCGGAGUUUAUGGUGUAGCGGUGAAAUGCAUAGAUACCAUAAAGAACACCUAUUGCGAAGGCAGCUUACUAAGCUGUAACUGACGCUGAGGCACGAAAGUGUGGGGAUCAAACAGG
rnacentral:rRNA from 1 species